CCUGGAGUAGUUCAGCGGUAGAACGGCCGGCUUCCUACCGGCAGGGCGCGGGUUCGAUCCCCGCCUCCAGGC
rnacentral:tRNA from 1 species